rnacentral:rRNA from 1 species
UUAAGCAUAUCAAUAAGCGGAGGAAAAGAAACUAACUAGUAUUCCCCUAGUAACGGCGAGCGAAGCGGGAACAGCUCAAAUUUGAAAUCUCCGGUGCCUGCACCGGCGAAUUGUAGUCUAUAGGGCCAGUUUCGCCAGACGCGGUGUCCCCAAAGUCGUCCUGGAAAGGCGGGCCAGAGAGGGUGAGAGCCCCGUGUGCGGGGGCACYGUGGAAGGUAAGAUCUGUGCCCAAAGAGUCGGGUUGUUUGGGAUUGCAGCCCAAAAUGGGUGGUAAACUCCAUCUAAAGCUAAAUACUGGCACGAGACCGAUAGCGAACAAGUACCGUGAGGGAAAGAUGAAAAGCACUUUGAAAAGAGAGUCAAACAGUACGUGAAACCGUUGGGAGGGAAACGAACGAGGUUGGUGCAGUGAUUGCGCAGGCUCAGGUUGUGCCAAAGGUGCCGUCAGGGUGACCCAGAGUGUCCCCAGGCGUCUGCUGGAGGCAGAGCCGUACUCCUCGCGAGCACGGACCAGCGGCGGUUGGAGUGGGGCCAUAAGGCUGCUCGGACGGUAUGUCGGGUAGGGCUUGCCCGACCCGACAACGUAUAGACUGGCUUCCCGGUGCUCCACUCCGACCGAGGAAGGAGGGCAGCUCUUGCCCGGUGUGGUGCACGCCGUAUGGCGGGGCCUCCCGUCGGGGGCGAGACGUGCUGGGUGGACUGCAUGCAGUGCUCACUGUCACGGCGGACCCACGGUCGGAGAGCGUCACUUGUGCACCAGUGCUGCUGGUAUUCGGACGGCCUCGUCCGACCCGUCUU